UGUUCCCUGAGCACUUUCCAUAGAGCUCUGGAGGACGGGAAUGAAAAUGGCGGCCUCCUAGUCUCUGCCUGGAGGAGCUGAGAACCCGCAGCCCACUCCUCAGUGUGCCCGGGGCGAAAAGCGCUCAAUCCCUCCCAUCUCCCUGGUCUCCGGCUGCACUCCGAUCUCCCCUGGCCUGUGACUGAGUGUUUAUGUGUCUGGCACACAGCCCCGUUUUGAGUCUCCAAACCCAGCAGAUUCCUGCGAUAUGCUCCUUUGCCGCUCUACCAGAAGAGGAAGCCAUGUUGUUCAUUCCCCUGACAUCGGAUGGAUUUGCAAAUCUGGGAUGCAAAUCCCAGAGACCAUAUAGUUUCAUCUGUAAGUAUUUCAGUAUUUCUAAAAGACGGAGACUCUUU
rnacentral:lncRNA from 1 species